GAUGAAGAACGUAGUGAAAUGCGAUAAGUAAUGUGAAUUGCAGAAUUCAGUGAAUCAUCGAGUCUUUGAACGCACAUUGCGCCCCCUGGUAUUCCGGGGGGCAUGCCUGUCCGAGCGUCAUUGCCGCCCUCAAGCACGGCUUGUGUGUUGGGCCCCCGCCCCCCGGCUUCGGGGGGCGGGCCCGAAAGGCAGCGGCGGCACCGCGUCCGGUCCUCGAGCGUAUGGGGCUUCGUCACCCGCUCUGUAGGCCCGGCCGGCGCCCGCCGGCGACCCCAAUCAAUCUUUCCAGGUUGACCUCGGAUCGGGUAGGGAUACCCGCUGAACUUAAGCAUAUCAAUAAGCGGAGGA
rnacentral:misc_RNA from 1 species